rnacentral:rRNA from 1 species
GAGUUUGAUCCUGGCUCAGAUUGAACGCUGGCGGCAGGCCUAAUACAUGCAAGUCGAACGGUAACAUGGAAGUAGCAAUACUUUUGAUGACGAGUGGCGGACGGGUGAGUAAUAUUUGGGAAUCUACCUAUCAGAGGGGGAUAGCAACUGGAAACGGUUGAUAAGACCGCGUACGCUCUGAGGAGGAAAGUAAUGGGAUCGCAAGACCAUUAGCUGAUAGAUGAGCCCAAACGGGAUUAGCUAGUAGGCGGGGUAAUAGCCCACCUAGGCGACGAUCUCUAGCUGGUUUUAGCGGAUGAUCAGCCACAUUGGAACUGAGACACGGUCCAAACUCCUACGGGAGGCAGCAGUAGGGAAUAUUGCACAAUGGAGGGAACUCUGAUGCAGCCAUGCCGCGUGUGUGAAGAAGGCCUUCGGGUUGUAAAGCACUUUAGUUUUCGAGAAAGGGUGCUGUUCAAAUAGGGCAGUAUUCAGAUGUUAGAAAAAGAAUAAGUACCGGCAAACUCCGUGCCAGCAGCCGCGGUAAUACGGAGGGUACGAGCGUUAAUCGGAAUGACUGGGCGUAAAGGGCACGUAGGUGGAUAGAUAAGUCACAAGUGAAAUACCCGGGCUUAACCUGGGAUUGGCUCGUGAAACUGUUUAACUAGAGUACGGUAGAGGGGAGUAGAAUUCCAAGUGUAGCGGUGAAAUGCGUAGAGAUUUGGAAGAAUACCGGAGGCGAAGGCGGCUCUCUGGACCGAUACUGACACUGAAGAGCGAAAGCGUGGGGAGCAAACAGGAUUAGAUACCCUGGUAGUCCACGCCGUAAACGAUGUCGACCAGGAAUUUGACGCCUUAGAGGUGUUGGGUUCCAGAACAAACGAAAUAAGUCGACCGCCUGGGGAGUACGGCCGCAAGGUWAAAACUCAAAUGAAUUGACGGGGGCCCGCACAAGCGGUGGAGCAUGUGGUUWGAUUCGAUGCAACGCGAAGAACCUUACCUGGUCUUGACAUGGCAGUAAUCCUGUAGNGAUACGGGAGUGCCGCAAGGAAACUGCACACAGGUGCUGCAU